CCUACGGGUGGCAGCAGUGAGGAAUAUUGUUCAAUGGACGAGAGUCUGAACCAGCCAAGUAGCGUGAAGGAUGACUGCCCUAUGGGUUGUAAACUUCUUUUAUAUGGGAAUAAAACGUUCCACGUGUGGGAUUUUGUAUGUACCAUAUGAAUAAGGAUCGGCUAACUCCGUGCCAGCAGCCGCGGUAAUACGGAGGAUCCGAGCGUUAGCCGGAUUUAUUGGGUUUAAAGGGAGCGUAGGUGGAUUGUUAAGUCAGUUGUGAAAGUUUGCGGCGCAACCGUAAAAUUGCAGUUGAAACUGGCAGUCUUGAGUACAGUAGAGGUGGGCGGAAUUCGUGGUGUAGCGGUGAAAUGCUUAGAUAUCACGAAGAACUCCGAUUGCGAAGGCAGUUCACUGGACUGCAACUGACACUGAGGCUCGAAAGUGUGGGUAUCAAACAGGAUUAGAUACCCGGGUAGUC
rnacentral:rRNA from 1 species